UCCGGUGACAAUAGCGAAGAGGACACACCCGUUCCCAUCCCGAACACGGAAGUUAAGCUCUUCAGCGCUGAUGAUACUUGGCGGGAGACCGCCUGGGAAAGUAGGACGUUGCCGGGU
rnacentral:rRNA from 1 species